UUAGAUCUUCAAGUUUGUUUUCAGAUUUACCUUCGGAUUUCACUGAUGAAUAAUGAUGGCUCAGCUACAGGUGCACGCGUGGAUGUGAUUUUCUUAUGGAUCUGGCUGACGUCCUUGAGGGCUUUCAACAUCUCCUUCUCAAAGUUGUCACAAAACUCUUGGACAUCAAACCGUAGAGUAUACCUCUUUUGAAGAUCGAUCAUCUUAUCCUGAAAAUUUCUCAACACAAAAGGUUAACAGAUAACAAAUCCUCUCACUCUCUAGUGUUUAUCCUCACCCACACACAUGUUUCUCUCGAAAAUUUAAUGGUCACUCAAGAGUCUUUUCUCAAUGUUCUAAGAGAACAAAUCAAAGUAACCCAAUGGAAUCUCCAAGUAAACAAGGGAAUUUUCUCAAAAUAGAAAGAUAAGAGAUUUUGAUUUUUUUUUUUAAAUCUGUUGUGACCACCUCAAAGGCUGGAUUUCUCUUCAGCCAGCAGGCUUUCUCUUCCACCACCAAUCCACAAAUCAAACUUUGAAUCCUUUUUUUUUAAAUCGUAGAUCUUUCUUUUUCUUUCUUUUUUUUAUAUAUGGUGGAUGGUAAUGAGGGACCCGGAUUCAAGAAAGGUAGAAAAAUAAAUUUUAAUAAGAAGAUGGAAGAUGAGAAAAUGGAAUGAAAUAGACAAUACCGGAAGAGUGGCUCUGAUACCACUUGAAGAACCCUAAGGAACGAACACUCGACCGGAUUGGAAAGAUAUGGACUCGAUCCGUAAGGAAGGAGAACUGAUGGGAUGAAUGGUGACACAAUGGGUUGCGGAUGGCCCAAUGAUACUACCAGACUUCAGUUGGUGCUUGAUAUGACUCACAAGUCCACCAAAAGAAGGAUUUUUUAAAGUUGUCUGAUAUGACGCACAGGUCCAACGAAUUAGAGGCUGUUUAGAAACAAGAAAGUGUUCUACAAAGAACAAAGGAGAAAAAAUCUCAACAAAAUGGGAAAAUGAAAUCUGCUUUAUUCCUUGGAUGUGAUUACAUAUUUAUAAUAGUUUGAGUCAAAGAAAUACAUAAAGAAAUUGUGGAAACCUAGAAACUUAGAAAACACAAACAAAGACUAAG
rnacentral:lncRNA from 1 species